AUUGCAGUAGGGAAUCUUCGGCAAUGGACGGAAGUCUGACCGAGCAACGCCGCGUGAGUGAAGAAGGUUUUCGGAUCGUAAAGCUCUGUUGUAAGAGAAGAACGAGUGUGAGAGUGGAAAGUUCACACUGUGACGGUAUCUUGCCAGAAAGGGACGGCUAACUACGUGCCAGCAGCCGCGGUAAUACGUAGGUCCCGAGCGUUGUCCGGAUUUAUUGGGCGUAAAGCGAGCGCAGGCGGUUAGAUAAGUCUGAAGUUAAAGGCUGUGGCUUAACCAUAGUACGCUUUGGAAACUGUUUAACUUGAGUGCAAGAGGGGAGAGUGGAAUUCCAUGUGUAGCGGUGAAAUGCGUAGAUAUAUGGAGGAACACCGGUGGCGAAAGCGGCUCUCUGGCUUGUAACUGACGCUGAGGCUCGAAAGCGUGGGGAGCAAACAGGAUUAGAUACCCUGGUAGUCCACGCCGUAAACGAUGAGUGCUAGGUGUUAGACCCUUUCCGGGGUUUAGUGCCGCAGCUAACGCAUUAAGCACUCCGCCUGGGGAGUACGACCGCAAGGUUGAAACUCAAAGGAAUUGACGGAAUC
rnacentral:rRNA from 1 species